UACGUAGGGGGCAGGCGUUAAUCGGAAUUACUGGGCGUAAAGCGUGCGCAGGCGGUCUUUUAAGUCAGAUGUGAAAUCCCCGGGCUUAACCUGGGAACUGCGUUUGAAACUGAAAGGCUAGAGUGUGGCAGAGGGGGGUGGAAUUCCACGUGUAGCAGUGAAAUGCGUAGAGAUGUGGAGGAACACCGAUGGCGAAGGCAGCCCCCUGGGCUAACACUGACGCUCAUGCACGAAAGCGUGGGGAGCAAACAGG
rnacentral:rRNA from 1 species